UACGCAGGGGGCUAGCGUUGCUCGGAAUGACUGGGCGUAAAGGGCGCGUAGGCGGAUUGCACAGUCAGAUGUGAAAUUCCCGGGCUUAACCUGGGGGCUGCAUUUGAUACGUGUGAUCUAGAGUGAGGAAGAGGGUCGUGGAAUUCCCAGUGUAGAGGUGAAAUUCGUAGAUAUUGGGAAGAACACCGGUGGCGAAGGCGGCGACCUGGUCCUUGACUGACGCUGAGGCGCGAAAGCGUGGGGAGCGAACAGG
rnacentral:rRNA from 1 species